rnacentral:rRNA from 1 species
UUAGAACUUUGGAUUAAUAAUUGGUGGAGUACCAGGCAAUCCGAAAUUCUCUUAACUGAUAUUCUAGAGAAAAGGAUUCUAGAAAGCUUCGUAGAAUUAGAAGAACUUCCUCUCUUGGACGAGAUGAUAAAAGGGAAACUAAAGACACGUGUACAAAAACCUCCUACUCACACAAGGAAACAAUAUUAA